rnacentral:lncRNA from 1 species
CAAGGAGGUUCAGAAGUUAAUUUUUUUCUGAAACAACAACUUAGGUGUGUACCUCAGUUGAGUGCCUUCUCUGGUCACCUUAAAUAUCUGUGUUCUGUCCUACAUAACUAGACCUCUUUAGAUCAACAUAUGCUGGAGGAGAACCUGAGCCAAAGAUCUCCAUGGAGCAUCUCAGAAGAAUUCUAAGAGUGUUGCCAUGCCUACCAUAUGGAUGAUGCACAUAUUCUAGACUGUGACGCAGAACUGGAAGUUGAUGAAUUUGAGCAGCUGAACACAAGACUGAGGAGAACACCUAUCUGGGGACUGACAUCGAGACCCUUGGAAGAAGCUCAUGCUGCUGUAUGGAAUGCCACAAUUUACUACAACAUAAAGACAGUCUCUGCUGAACAAUUCAAAUCAGAUGAGGCAGUACAUGAAAUACAUUCCACUGUGCAAGGUGAGCAGGAACCCUUAUUUUAUGUCCAAAGGGGGUCUGGAAACCCAUUGUGAUCCACGGGGACUUGGAGAUUCCCUGUCUCCCCAAGGUAACUUUGGUCUGUUUGGAUUUUGAUGUCCUAGGACACAAGAGUAGCAAGCAGAGUCUGGAAUCUGAGUUUCCUGCUAACAAUCCAGUCUUCAGGAAUGGAGUGAACCCAUCCUUUGUGCCCAGACAUACAGCCGAAAAAAACCUUGAUGAAGCCACAAAUCCAGCUACAACCACUCAGACUGUUGGUACAGUGUUCACAUUGCUGCCUGAGCAAAUGCCACAGAUGAUAUGGAUAUUCUUUUGUUAGUUUCGCGGGUGUAGUUAUUUUUAUUGUUGAUGUUUAAGUGUAGAAAGAAUGUCUUUCAGUUUUCCUGGUUUUUGGUUUUUUUUUGUUUUUUUUUUUUUUUUAAAUCAUCUCCUGGUAUUGAACGUCAACAACCAAUUCAUAAGACUUGAUAUUUCCCACUCUAUUUGGCAAUCUACAUUUUAUGCAUAUUCCUACUACAGAGUGAUAUAACGCUAAUAAAUUUUAUUCUACAAAUGUAAACAUUUUAAUAUUUUAACCAAGUUGUGUUGAAUUGAAAUAUAGAUUUUUUUUAUCUCCGCAAUUGUGUUUGUUUCUGCAACUGAUUGGAUGGUUGUUCCCCGUGAGCCCUGUGCCGCUGCUA